rnacentral:rRNA from 1 species
GACGAGGUGGACAAACGUUAUUCGGAUUUACUGGGCUUAAAGCGUGCGUAGGCGGCUCAGAAAGUUGGGUGUGAAAGCCCUCGGCUCAACCGAGGAAUUGCGCUCAAAACUACUGAGCUUGAGGGAGAUAGGGGAGAGCGGAACUGAUGGUGGAGCGGUGAAAUGCGUUGAUAUCAUCAGGAACACCGGUGGCGAAGGCGGCUCUCUGGAUCUCUUCGUGACGCUGAGCACGAAGCUAGGGGAGCAAACGG